rnacentral:rRNA from 1 species
CAAAUCAGGUAGGAUUACCCGCUGAACUUAAGCAUAUCAAUAAGCGGAGGAAAAGAAACUAACAAGGAUUCCCCUAGUAACUGCGAGUGAAGCGGGAAAAGCUCAAAUUUAAAAUCUGGUAGUCUUUGGCUGCCCGAGUUGUAAUCUAGAGAAGCGUUAUCCGCGCUGGACCGUGUAUAAGUCUCCUGGAAUGGAGCGUCAUAGAGGGUGAGAAUCCCGUCUUUGACACGGACUACCAGGGCUUUGUGAUGCGCUCUCAAAGAGUCGAGUUGUUUGGGAAUGCAGCUCUAAAUGGGUGGUAAAUUCCAUCUAAAGCUAAAUAUUGGCGAGAGACCGAUAGCGAACAAGUACCGUGAGGGAAAGAUGAAAAGAACUUUGGAAAGAGAGUUAAACAGUACGUGAAAUUGUUGAAAGGGAAACGCUUGAAGUCAGUCGCGUUGGCUAGGAAUCAGCCUUGCUUUUGCUUGGUGUAUUUCCUGGUUGACGGGUCAGCAUCAAUUUUGACCGGUGGAAAAAGGCCAGAGGAAUGUGGCAUCUUCGGAUGUGUUAUAGCUUCUGGUUGUAUACAUCGGUUGGGAUUGAGGAACUCAGCACGCCGCAAGGUCGGGGUUCGCCCACGUUCGUGCUUAGGAUGCUGGCAUAAUGGCUUUAAUCGACCCGUCUUGAAACACGGACC